AGAGUUUGAUCAUGGCUCAGGAUGAACGCUAGCGGCAGGCCUAAUACAUGCAAGCUGAACGGUAAAUAUUGUAGCAAUACAAUAUGAGAGUAGCGUAAGGGUGCGUAACACGUAUGCAAUCUGCCCUGUACAGGAGAAUAGCUCGGCGAAAGCCGGAUUAAUACUCCGUAAUAUUAUUGUGUGGCAUCACAUGAUAAUUAAAGUCGCAAGACGGUAUGGGAUGAGCAUGCGUCUGAUUAGCUAGUUGGUAGUGUAACGGACUACCAAGGCGAUGAUCAGUAGGGGAACUGAGAGGUUGAUCCCCCACACUGGCACUGAGAUACGGGCCAGACUCCUACGGGAGGCAGCAGUAGGGAAUAUUGGUCAAUGGGUGAGAGCCUGAACCAGCCAUGCCGCGUGCAGGAAGAAGGCCUUCUGGGUUGUAAACUGCUUUUGCCGGGGGAUAAAAUUCCAAUGCGUGGGACAUUGAAGGUACCCGGUGGAUAAGCCACGGCUAACUACGUGCCAGCAGCCGCGGUAAUACGUAGGUGGCAAGCGUUGUCCGGAUUUAUUGGGUUUAAAGGGUGCGUAGGCGGCCUAUUAAGUCAGUUCUGAAAUAUCCCGGCUUAACCGGGAGGGUGGGAUUGAUACUGAUGGGCUUGAGUGGACUCGAGGUAGGCGGAAUUGACGG
rnacentral:rRNA from 1 species